GAGUUUGAUCAUGGCUCAGAUUGAACGCUGGCGGAAUGCUUUACACAUGCAAGUCGAGCGGCAGCGCGGGGCAACCUGGCGGCGAGCGGCGAACGGGUGAGUAAUGCAUCGGAACGUGUCCACGUCGUGGGGGAUAGCCCGGCGAAAGCCGGAUUAAUACCGCAUACGCCCGAGAGGGGAAAGUGGGGGACCGCAAGGCCUCACGCGAUUGGGUCGGCCGAUGUCCGAUUAGCUAGUUGGCGGGGUAAAGGCCCACCAAGGCGAUGAUCGGUAGCUGGUCUGAGAGGAUGAUCAGCCACACUGGGACUGAGACACGGCCCAGACUCCUACGGGAGGCAGCAGUGGGGAAUUUUGGACAAUGGGGGCAACCCUGAUCCAGCCAUUCCGCGUGAGUGAAGAAGGCCUUCGGUUGUAAG
rnacentral:rRNA from 1 species